GAUCAUAGCCAUAUCACCCUGCAGCCCAAGACUGCUUGCCCACUGAAGCCAAGCAGGGUUGAGCCUGGUCAGUACCUGGAUGGGAGACCUCCUGAGAAAACUAGGUUGCUGUGUAAG
rnacentral:rRNA from 1 species